rnacentral:lncRNA from 1 species
GAAAAUAUACAUCACCAAAAUUUACUGAAGUCGGGUUUGGUUUUGGAUGCUGGCUCAGUAUUUGACUUCUACAACCUGCGCACGGAAACAACCGUACGCUGAGUAUUUCAUACUCAGUGGUAUUACUAUAAAUUAAACUAUUUAAUAAUAAUAAAAUUUCAAAUAUUGACCAUAGUCUUUUAUAAAUCACUUUAAACUAAAUAUACAUAAUCAUAUAUCAUUUCAUAAAUCUUAAAUUUAUAUUUAUAUAUUUACAUACUAAAUCAAUUCAUAAUUUAUAUCAUACAUUCUUUCUCGUAUUUUUCAAUAGUGUCAAAUCAACCAAUCUCAUUUUCAAAUUUCCAUUUCAAUUAUUUACCCUAUUAACAAGGCUCAGACUCUGACAGAUACGCGGAUUUCACCCAAACACACCAGAAUAUCCAACCUAAACGCACCCGAAAUAAAUAUAUAUCCUCCAUAACACACCAAUAUAUCAUAUCCUCCCAAACACACCAAUAAGGCAUUAAACGCCGCUUCGGAUAAACCGAAGCAUAUAAUAACAUAAUAAUCUUCUCGGCCGAACUACAAAUCUCCUCAUCACAUCACAAAUCCUAUGGCAUGCCAUUUGUAUCCAAUUUAGUCCGAUAAGUUAAUAGGGUAUUAUUUUACUUUUCAAACUUCGAAUUCAUUUCCACAACAAUUUCAAAUACUCAAACAAUUCAAAACAUCUAUUAUUUCAAUUCACAUAUAAUUCCAUAUUCACACAUAUUCUUACUUAAUUUCAAAUGUUAUCACUUACCUUACUUUAAAUGCCUCAUGAAUACAAUUUCAAUAUAGCAUUUAUUAAAUAGAUUAAGUUCUAGUAAUACAAACCCGGAAUACGCGUUUACUCCUCAACGAUCUUUUCUUUUCCUUUGGAUGUCGAUGCCUCGUUUUCCUUGUUAGCUACGAAAAUAAUAAUUGUUUUCACUAUUAAUUACAAUCAUUAAUAAUAAUAAUAAUAAUAAUAAUAAUAAAAAAAUUUUAUUCAAUUUCUACUUAUUCCCAAUUUAAUUCUAACUAAGCUUACUUAUUAUUUUUUUUUUCUAACUUAAUUCACACUCUAUUUCUAUUCAAAUUUCUUCUAAACUCAAAUUUAUCUACUAAUUUUUCAGCAUUUUUCACUAAUUUCGAAUUUUCCUCAAUUUAAUCCCUAAAAUUCAAAACUUAUAGUUUAGUUCACAAUUUAAUCCUUUUAUCAACUCUAACUAGAAACUCUAUCAAAUAAACCCUCAAUUCCAUCAUUUAUUCAACAUAAACCCUACUAAAAAAUCCAUCAACUUUCAAAUUUUUAACUUAAAUCCAAGAGUGUUUCACUCUAAGAUUCCAAAAAACAUCAAAUUUAUGAGAAAAUGACUUGAUUUAGCUUACCUAUUAAACUUCAAACUUCAAAAUCUCAAUUUUCCCCCUUUCUUUUCUUUCCCCUUUUUCUUCCCCUGUUUUCGUCUCUUUCUCU